rnacentral:rRNA from 1 species
AUUGAACGCUGGCGGCAGGCCUAACACAUGCAAGUCGAGCGGAUGAAGGGAGCUUGCUCCUGGAUUCAGCGGCGGACGGGUGAGUAAUGCCUAGGAAUCUGCCUGGUAGUGGGGGAUAACGUCCGGAAACGGGCGCUAAUACCGCAUACGUCCUGAGGGAGAAAGUGGGGGAUCUUCGGACCUCACGCUAUCAGAUGAGCCUAGGUCGGAUUAGCUAGUUGGUGGGGUAAAGGCCUACCAAGGCGACGAUCCGUAACUGGUCUGAGAGGAUGAUCAGUCACACUGGAACUGAGACACGGUCCAGACUCCUACGGGAGGCAGCAGUGGGGAAUCUUCGACAAUGGGCGAAAGCCUGAUCCAGCCAUGCCGCGUGUGUGAAGAAGGUCUUCGGAUUGUAAAGCACUUUAAGUUGGGAGGAAGGGCAGUAAGUUAAUACCUUGCUGUUUUGACGGUACCAACAGAAUAAGCACCGGCUAACUUCGUG